rnacentral:rRNA from 1 species
AGUGAACGCUGGCGGUAGGCCUAACACAUGCAAGUCGAACGGCAGCACAGUAAGAGCUUGCUCUUACGGGUGGCGAGUGGCGGACGGGUGAGGAAUACAUCGGAAUCUACUUUUUCGUGGGGGAUAACGUAGGGAAACUUACGCUAAUACCGCAUACGACCUACGGGUGAAAGCAGGGGAUCUUCGGACCUUGCGCGAUUGAAUGAGCCGAUGUCGGAUUAGCUAGUUGGCGGGGUAAAGGCCCACCAAGGCGACAAUCCGUAGCGGGUCUGAGAGGAUGAUCAGCCACACUGUAACUGAGACACGGUCCAGACUCCUACGGGAGGCAGCAGUGGGGAAUAUUGGACAAUGGGCGCAAGCCUGAUCCAGCCAUACCGCGUGGGUGAAGAAGGCCUUCGGGUUGUAAAGCCCUUUUGUUGGGAAAGAAAAGCAGCAGGUUAAUACCCCGCUGUUCUGACGGUACCCAAAGAAUAAGCACCGGCUAACUUCGUG